GAUGAACGCUGGCGGCGUGCCUAAUACAUGCAAGUCGAGCGAACAGACGAGGAGCUUGCUCCUCUGACGUUAGCGGCGGACGGGUGAGUAACACGUGGAUGACCUACCUAUAAGACUGGGAUAACUUCGGGAAGCCGGAGCUAAUACCGGAUAAUAUAUUGAACCGCAUGGUUCAAUAGUGAAAGACGGUUUUGCUGUCACUUAUAGAUGGAUCCGCGCCGCAUUAGCUAGUUGGUAAGGUAACGGCUUACCAAGGCAACGAUGCGUAGCCGACCUGAGAGGGUGAUCGGCCACACUGGAACUGAGACACGGUCCAGACUCCUACGGGAGGCAGCAGUAGGGAAUCUUACGCAAUGGGCGAAAGCCUGACGGAGCAACGCCGCGUGAGUGAUGAAGGUCUUCGGAUCGUAAAACUCUGUUAUUAGGGAAGAACAAAUGUGUAAGUAACUAUGCACGUCUUGACGGUACCUAAUCAGAAAGCCACGGCUAACUACGUG
rnacentral:rRNA from 1 species